rnacentral:rRNA from 1 species
AGAGUUUGAUCCUGGCUCAGGACGAACGCUUGCGACGUGCCUAAGAAAUGCAAGUCGAACGGGGUAGCAAUACCUAGUGGCGAACGGUCGCGUAACACGUGGGCAACCUGCCCCAGAGCGGGGGACAACAGUCCGAAAGGUCUGCUAAUACCGCAUGUGGUCUCUUGCGGCAUCGCGAGAGCACUAAAGAUUUAUCACUC